GGGGAGGUGGUGGAAUCGGUAGACACACGGCACUUAAAAUGCCGUGGGCCUGAAAGGCCCGUGCGGGUUCGAGUCCCGCCCUCCCCACAA
rnacentral:tRNA from 3 species